rnacentral:misc_RNA from 1 species
AAGUCGUAACAAGGUUUCCGUAGGUGAACCUGCGGAAGGAUGAUUAACACGUAUCCAACGUUUAAAUCAAUCCGUGCACCUUCAUCUCCCAGUAUCUGGGGCAGUUGAAACAAGGACCAACUCAGACGAUUGGACGGUAACGAUUUCUACGGCGAGCAAACUGGAGAGAUCCGUCAAAGCCUUCCGGCUGACUCUUGUGUCUUCCCCCGUGCAGUCCCUCUUUCUGACUGUUGGUGCAGCGCAGUGAAGGUGUCACUCUUGGGGUUGGAGGCCGCAG